CGGGGUAUAGCUCAGCCUGGUAGAGCACUUGCUUUGGGAGCAAGGGGCCGUAAGUUCGAAUCUUGCUACCCCGACCA
rnacentral:tRNA from 1 species